AGAAUUCCCCAUGGCAAUGCCUUUCAUUUUUGAGAGAUUUUGCUAAAGGGUCAGCGUCAAACGUUUCUUGAUAACAAGAACACUAAUAACACUAUCAAUCUUCUCAUUUCUUGAUAACAAUAUAAUAAAUUUAGCAAAACAAAACAUUAAUAACACUAUCAACCUUCUUAUUUCUUAAUAACAAUAUACAAAAUUUAGAAAAACAAGAAUACAAAUAACACUCUCAAUCUUCUCAUUUCUUGAUACCAAUAUACAAAAUUUAUCAAAACAAGAACACUAAUAACACUAUCAAUCUUCUCAUUUCUUGAUAACAAUAUACAAAAUUUAGCAAAACAAGAAGACUAAUAACACUAUCAAUAUUCUCAUUUCUUGAUAACAAUAUACAAAAUUUAGCAAAACAAGAACACUAAUAACACUUUAAAUCUUCUCAUUUCUUGAUAACAAUAUACAAAAUUUAGCAAAACAAGAACACUAAUAACACUAUCAAUCUUCUCAUUUCUUGAUAACAAUAUACCAAAUUUAGCAAAACAAGAACACUAAUAACAAUCAAUCUUCUCAUUUCUUGAUAACAAUAUACCAAAUUUAGCAAAACAAGAACACUAAUAACACUAUCAAUCUUCUCAUUUCUUGAUAACAAUAUACAAAAUUUAGCAAAACAAGAACACUAAUAACAUUAUCAAUCGUCUCAUUUCUUGAUAACAAUAUACAGAUAAGUAUGCUACGAAAAAAGAAGCAAAGAAAUAACUCACGUAAUAGAGUCCUAAAGAUGUGUGUACAGAUAUAGGAAGCAGCGGUGUGGCCUUUGAAGCCAUCAUAAAUUCCAACGAAUAAUGCCUCAUGGCUUACAUCGACUUGGUUGUGAUCUUCCAUAUCCUUAUUUGACUGAAGAGAAGCCAUGGAGAAUUCCCCAAGGCAAUGCCUUUCAUUUUUGAGAGAUUUUGCUAAAUGGUCAGCGUCAAACGUUUCUUGAUAACAAGAACACUAAUAACACUAUCAAUCUUCUCAUUUCUUGAUAACAUUAUGCAAAAUUUAGCAAAACAAGAAUACUAAUAACACUAUCAACCUUCUCAUUUCUUGAUAACAAUAUACAAAAUUUAGCAAAACAAGAACACUAAUAACACUAUCAACCUUCUCAUUUCUUGAUAACAAUAUACAAAAUUUAGAAAAACAAG
rnacentral:lncRNA from 1 species